rnacentral:rRNA from 1 species
AGCGAACGCUGGCGGCAGGCCUAACACAUGCAAGUCGAACGAACCUUUCGGGGUUAGUGGCGGACGGGUGAGUAACACGUGGGAACGUGCCCUUAGGUUCGGAAUAACUCAGGGAAACUUGUGCUAAUACCGAAUGUGCCCUUCGGGGGAAAGAUUUAUCGCCUUUAGAGCGGCCCGCGUCUGAUUAGCUAGUUGGUUGAGGUAAUGGCUCACCAAGGCGACGAUCAGUAGCUGGUCUGAGAGGAUGAUCAGCCACAUUGGGACUGAGACACGGCCCAAACUCCUACGGGAGGCAGCAGUGGGGAAUCUUGCACAAUGGGCGAAAGCCUGACGCAGCCAUGCCGCGUGAAUGAUGAAGGUCUUAGGAUUGUAAAAUUCUUUCACCGGGGACGAUAAUGACGGUACCCGGAGAAGAAGCCCCGGCUAACUUCGUG